AGCUCCAAUAGCGUAUAUUAAAGUUGUUGCAGUUAAAAAGCUCGUAGUUGGAUUUGUGGUUCGUCCCGCCGGCUGGGUCAUUGACUUUUGCUGUGCUGGUCGUCCAUCCUUGGGUGGAAUCUGUGUGGCAUUAGGUUGUCGCGCAGGGGAUGCCCAUCGUUUACUGUGAAAAAAUUAGAGUGUUCAAAGCAGGCAUUCAUCGUGCCCGAAUACAUGAGCAUGGAAUAAUGGAACAGGACUACGGUCACUGCACUUUUUCCGUUGGUUUCGGAGGACCGAAGUAAUGAUUAAGAGGGACAGUUGGGGGCAUCCGUAUUUCGUAGUCAGAGGUGAAAUUCUUGGAUCUGCGAAAGACGAACGAGUGCGAAAGCAUUUGCCAAGAGUGUUUUCAUUAAUCAAG
rnacentral:rRNA from 1 species